CGUGCCUAACACAUGCAAGUCGAGCGAGAACGCCUCCUUCGGGAGGUUAGUAAAGCGGCGAACGGGUGAGUAACACGUGAGCGAUCUACCCGACGGCGGGGGAUAACCCAGGGAAACCUGAGCUAAUACCGCAUACAGCACCGGCUUGGAAGCCGGAUGUGAAAGCUGGCCUCUCGAAGAAGCUGGCACCAUCGGAUGAGCUCGCGGCCUAUCAGCUAGUUGGUGGGGUAACGGCCUACCAAGGCGAUGACGGGUAGCUGGCGUGAGAGCGUGGCCAGCCACACUGGGACUGAGACACGGCCCAGACUCCUACGGGAGGCAGCAGUGGGGAAUAUUGCGCAAUGGGCGAAAGCCUGACGCAGCGACGCCGCGUGGGGGAGGAAGGCCUCAGGGUCGUAAACCCCUGUCAGGUGGGACGAACCACCGAUCGGUCAAUACCCGGUCGGUCUGACGGUACCACCAGAGGAAGCUCCGGCUAACUCCGUGCCAGCAGCCGCGGUAAUACGGAGGGAGCUAGCGUUGUUCGGAAUUACUGGGCGUAAAGGGCGCGUANGCGGUCGGGUAAGUCGAGUGUGAAAUUCCGGGGCUCAACCCCGCGAACUGCAUUCGAUACUGCUCGACUANAGAGAGGUAGGGGCGAGUGGAAUUCCCGGUGUAGCGGUGGAAUGCGUAAAUAUCGGGAAGAACACCGGUGGCGAAGGCGGCUCGCUGGCCUUUUCUGACCCUGAACGCGAAACGUGGGGAGCAACGGAUUAGAUACCCUGGUAGUCCACGCCGUAA
rnacentral:rRNA from 1 species